ensembl:lncRNA
AGGGCCUCCAUGCAGGAUGUGAGUCAAUAAAUACCAGCAUGGAGACAGUGUGCUGAACGAUGGCGUGAUGAUCGGUGAUGAUCAGUGAGCCUCCUGGUUGCUUCAUGAGGACGUGUGGACGCUGGGUCCUACAUGUUCCUCGCAUCUGGUUCAGGAGGCCCCCACAUGCCUGCAGCAAGGGGGGAGGGGUGCUGGCGUCAGCAUGUCUGGCGUCUGCACGGGCACAUAAAUACCCGGAGGUCCAGAUGCUGCCUCCACUGUCGCUCUUCUCUGCGAGGAGGUGAGAAAGAGACGCCACCAUGGUCCCACUGAGGCUGCUGGUCUCCUUCGGCUUGCUGUUUGCUGUUGGCUGUUUCUCUCGAGCUGCUGAGGGAGAGGUCAUCUACGCCUGUUUCAAUGAGACCGCUGUGAUGUCAUGUGAUGUGGGAGCUAAGAUCAAGCUGGAUCACAUCCUGUAUAAGGUUGGCGUGGGGACGAGGUGUGGUGAAGGAAAGCGUUUCCCUGACGACGGACCUGAGACCUUCUGCUCCUUCUCCUGGGCGGAGAUGGUGGUGGAGGACCUGUGUGGCAACAAGAGGUCCUGCGAGGUCCCCGUCACCGAGCUGGUGUUUGGUGAAUACCCCUGUAAGGAGCAGACCAGAUACCUGGAGGUGUCCUAUAC